GGAAGGAUCAUUAUCGAAUAAACUUGAGCAGGCUGUUGCUGGCCUCUUUGGGGGUAUUGUGCACGCUUGUCAUCUUUAUUUCCCCCCACUGUGCACAUAUUGUAGACCCUGGAGUUGUAAUUGUUCAUACCGAUUGAUUGAGGACUGCUGUAAAGCUUUGCCUUGCUUCUCCAGGUCUAUGUUAAUUUUUUUUCACAACCUCUGAAUGUGUUUAGAAUGUUGAAUUGGGUCUUUGUACCUAUAAAGUUUAAAUAUACAACUUUCAGCAACGGAUCUCUUGGCUCUCGCAUCGAUGAAGAACGCAGCGAAAUGCGAUAAGUAAUGUGAAUUGCAGAAUUCAGUGAAUCAUCGAAUCUUUGAACGCAUCUUGCGCUCCUUGGUAUUCCGAGGAGCAUGCCUGUUUGAGUGUCAUUAAGUUCUCAACUACACCAGUUUUAUAAUUGGUGUGGCUUGGAUAAUGGGGGUUGUAUUUGCAGGCCUCAGACAAUUAAAUGUCUGCUCCCCUGAAAUGUAUCAGUAGUAUCUGAGCAGAACUACCACAGGUGUGAUAAUUAUCUAUGCCUUGGUGAAUUUGCAUGAACAGAUUACACUGCUUCUAACAAGUGAAAACUCUUACGAGUUUCAUCUUUUGACAAAUUUGACCUCAAAUCAGGUAGGACUACCCGCUGAACUUAAGCAUAUCAAURAGCGGAGGAAAAGAAACUAACAAGGAUUCCCCUAGUAACUGCGAGUGAAGCGGGAAGAGCUCAAAUUUGAAAUCUGGCGG
rnacentral:rRNA from 1 species